UGGGGAAUUUUGGACAAUGGGCGAAAGCCUGAUCCAGCAAUGCCGCGUGUGUGAAGAAGGCCUUCGGGUUGUAAAGCACUUUUGUCCGGAAAGAAAUCCUUGGCUCUAAUACAGUCGGGGGAUGACGGUACCGGAAGAAUAAGCACCGGCUAACUACGUGCCAGCAGCCGCGGUAAUACGUAGGGUGCAAGCGUUAAUCGGAAUUACUGGGCGUAAAGCGUGCGCAGGCGGUUUGCUAAGACCGAUGUGAAAUCCCCAGGCUCAACCUGGGAACUGCAUUGGUGACUGGCAGGCUAGAGUAUGGCAGAGGGGGGUAGAAUUCCACGUGUAGCAGUGAAAUGCGUAGAGAUGUGGAGGAAUACCGAUGGCGAAGGCAGCCCCCUGGGCCAAUACUGACGCUCAUGCACGAAAGCGUGGGGAGCAAACAGGAUUAGAUACCCUGGUAGUCCACGCCCUAAACGAUGUCAACUAGUUGUUGGGGAUUCAUUUCCUUAGUAACGUAGCUAACGCGUGAAGUUGACCGCCUGGGGAGUACGGUCGCAAGAUUAAAACUCAAAUGAAUUGACGGGGUCAUAGCUGUUUCCU
rnacentral:rRNA from 1 species